rnacentral:rRNA from 1 species
GCGGGGUAACGGCCCACCAAACCGACGAUGGAUAGGGGUUCUGAGAGGAAGGUCCCCCACAUUGGUACUGAGACACGGACCAAACUCCUACGGGAGGCAGCAGUGAGGAAUAUUGGUCAAUGGGCGUAAGCCUGAACCAGCCAAGUCGCGUGAGGGAUGAAGGUUCUAUGGAUCGUAAACCUCUUUUAUAAGGGAAUAAAGUGCGGGACGUGUCCCGUUUUGUAUGUACCUUAUGAAUAAGGAUCGGCUAACUCCGUGCCAGCAGCCGCGGUAAUACGGAGGAUCCGAGCGUUAUCCGGAUUUAUUGGGUUUAAAGGGUGCGUAGGCGGCCUUUUAAGUCAGCGGUGAAAGUCUGUGGCUCAACCAUAGAAUUGCCGUUGAAACUGGGGGGCUUGAGUAUGUUUGAGGCAGGCGGAAUGCGUGGUGUAGCGGUGAAAUGCUUAGAUAUCACGCAGAACCCCGAUUGCGAAGGCAGCCUGCCAAGCCAUGACUGACGCUGAUGCACGAAAGCGUGGGGAUCAAACAGGAUUAGAUACCCUGGUAGUACACGCAGUAAACGAUGAUCACUAGCUGUUUGCGAUACACUGUAAGCGGCACAGCGAAAGCGUUAAGUGAUCCACCUGGGGAGUACGCCGGCAACGGUGAAACUCAAAGGAAUUGACGGGGGCCCGCACAAGCGGAGGAACAUGUGGUUUAAUUCGAUGAUACGCGAGGAACCUUACCCGGGUUUGAACGCAUUCGGACCGAGGUGGAAACACCUUUUCUAGCAAUAGCCGUUUGCGAGGUGCUGCAUGGUUGUCGUCAGCUCGUGCCGUGAGGUGUCGGCUUAAGUGCCAUAACGAGCGCAACCCCUCUCCUUAGUUGCCAUCAGGUUAAGCUGGGCACUCUGGGGACACUGCCACCGUAAGGUGUGAGGAAGGUGGGGAUGACGUCAAAUCAGCACGGCCCUUACAUCCGGGGCGACACACGUGUUACAAUGGCGUGGACAAAGGGAAGCCACCUGGCGACAGGGAGCGAAUCCCCAAACCACGUCUCAGUUCGGAUCGGAGUCUGCAACCCGACUCCGUGAAGCUGGAUUCGCUAGUAAUCGCGCAUCAGCCAUGGCGCGGUGAAUACGUUCCCGGGCCUUGUACACACCGCCCGUCAAGCCAUGGGAGCCGGGGGUACCUGAAGUGCGUAACCGCGAGGAGCGCCCUAGGGUAAAACUGGUGACUGGGGCUAAGUCGUAACAAGGUAGCCGUACCGGAAGGUGCGGCUG